UGGGGAAUUUUGGACAAUGGGCGCAAGCCUGAUCCAGCCAUGCCGCGUGAGUGAAGAAGGCCUUCGGGUUGUAAAGCUCUUUCGGUGGGGAAGAAAUUGCACUUGUUAAUACCGAGUGUAGAUNGACGGUACCCGCAUAAGAAGCACCGGCUAACUACGUGCCAGCAGCCGCGGUAAUACGUAGGGUGCGAGCGUUAAUCGGAAUUACUGGGCGUAAAGCGUGCGCAGGUGGUUGUGUAAGUCAGAUGUGAAAUCCCCGGGCUCAACCUGGGAACUGCAUUUGAGACUGCACGGCUAGAGGAUGGCAGAGGGGGUAGAAUUCCGACGUGUAGCAGUGAAAUGCGUAGAGAUGUGGAGGAAUACCGAUGGCGAAGGCAGCCCCCUGGGCUAUUACUGACA
rnacentral:rRNA from 1 species